AAGUCGUAACAAGGUUUCCGUAGGUGAACCUGCGGAAGGAUCAUUAACACGUAUCCAAACGUUAAACCCCCCUGUGAACCUUCAGUGUACUCGUACGUCCGUUAGAAAAAGCAGCAAUCCCUGGUAAAUCAUCGCCGAACAGUUUUCGAUUCAGGGACGUCUGCAAGGAGCGUGCAUGUUGUCAUCCUUACACAGUUAAUGACACUUUCAGACACUAACUGCUUGGGGAUGCCAGGCCACUUGCACGAUCGUUGGAGGCCCACACGGCCGACGUCCGGGUCACUGGGCGCAAGCCCCUCUAUAACAAACGCUGCCAAUCGCGGCCGCGAUAACGCAGUCGACAAAAAACCGAACAACUGUUAACAAUGGAUAUCUUGGUUCUC
rnacentral:misc_RNA from 1 species